rnacentral:rRNA from 1 species
CCAAUAGCGUAUAUUAAAGUUGUUGCAGUUAAAAAGCUCGUAGUUGAAUUUCGGGAUUAGUACGUUGGUCGUGCCUUAGGUACGUACUGGUGUUACUGGUUCCUACCUUCUGACGAACCAUCAUGUCAUUAAUUUGGUGUGGUGGGGAAUCAGGACUGUUACUUUGAAAAAAUUAGAGUGUUUAAAGCAGGCUCGCGCUUGAAUACAUUAGCAUGGAAUAAUGAAAUAGGACGUUGAUCCUAUUUUGUUGGUUUCUAGGAUUGACGUAAUGAUUAAUAGGGAUAGUUGGGGGCAUUAGUAUUCAAUUGUCAGAGGUGAAAUUCUUGGAUUUAUUGAAGACUAACUACUGCGAAAGCAUUUGCCAAGGAUGUUUUCAUUAAUCAAGAACGAAAGUUAGGGGAUCGAAGACGAUCAGAUACCGUCGUAGUCUUAACCAUAAACUAUGCCGACUAGGGAUCGGAUGAUGUUAAUUUUUUAAUGACUCAUUCGGCGCCUUACG